GACGAACGCUGGCGGCGCGCCUAACACAUGCAAGUCGAACGGAGUUUGAGAGAGCUUGCUUUUUCAAACUUAGUGGCGAACGGGUGAGUAACGCGUGAGUAACCUGCCCUGGAGUGGGGGACAACAGUUGGAAACGACUGCUAAUACCGCCUAUACCUAAGUAUCGCAUGGUACAAUAGGGAAAGGAGCAAUCCGCUGAUAGAUGGGCUUGCGUCUGAUUAGAUAGUUGGUGGGGUAACGGCCUACCAAGUCGACGAUCAGUAGCCGGACUGAGAGGUUGAACGGCCACAUUGGGACUGAGAUACGGCCCAG
rnacentral:rRNA from 1 species